rnacentral:lncRNA from 1 species
CAGCUAUUGAAUGGGAGGGUUAGAAUUGAAACCUAGGCUUUAAACCGGUUUGAAAACUGUUUUAAACUGGGGUUCCUAAGAACCCCUGGAGCCAUGUGAUUAGACAAAGUUUGGAAAACUAACAUGCGUGUGUGUUAGUGGUGUGGGUCCUUGGGGAGGUGGGAAGGAGGGAGUAGCACCUUUGAAGGGCUCCCAUCUCUCGUCUUUAUCCCACCCCACCUCUCCCCCUUUUCUGCCACCAAGAGCAUGGACUCUUUCCCUGGCCUCUGCUUUGCCAGUUUCUUUGAACCUACUCUGCCCAGUGCCUAUGUUUCCUGGCAUCAUGAUUGGCAGGCACUGUUGGAACAGCACAGAAGGGGCAUCUCUGAGUAGAGCAGAUGAGGACAGAGGGCACAGACCUUGACAUGGUGCAGUGCUGUGCCAGGCCAGAGUCAGAGGGCAAUGCGCAUCCCAGCCAGAGGCAGGAAGUGGCAGAGGCAAGUUGAACGAACACCCUGGGUCCCUCUGGACUCCAACCAGCACUGGAAAUUUUCACGAAUGCUAAAUCCACUUGCUCCUUUACAGGAAAAGCUGACCCUUGAGCCAUCUUUCCUUCAGCAGUUCCAGUUUGUUUUUCCAGUGGCCUUCUGCCUUAGCCAUCAUUGCAAUCAGCCCUUGGGCUUAAGGGGCUAAAUUGAUGAUCUUUUUGAAUACCCAGAGACUCAUACUCACAACAUACAGGAAUAAAGUGACAUGAUCAUAAACACCAACAUACUCCUGUAGGCCAAAACACAUUUGCACGCUUCUUGGUCUUGCUCCCAAAAUAAAUUACUGGUCAUUGAAAUUUAAGAAGAACAAAGGAAAUUCCAAAGCAGAACUCCUUACUGUACAAAUGCCUAAAUUCAAGCCCCAUCCUUAUUCUAGUUCAUCAUUAUUAUUUUGUAGGGAAAACUCAUUACAGUGAUGAUAAACUCACGGUGGCAUUUCAGAUUUAAUUUUUCAAGAAUUUCCAAGGAAUCCAUUAAUGGAAUGAAAUUAGCUGGCAGAUACUGGAGAGAUAUGUAGAAGGACAACUUUCUAGAUUAUUGCCACUGUUAAUUGUGGUCAUCAAUAUUGAAAAGUACAAGAAUCAUGGAGAAACAAGAGGAGUGAUAGAAAGAACACUGAGCUUGUAAUCAGAAGCCCUUGUUCAAAUUCUUAUUACUUGUUGUGUGGUCUUAAACAGAUAGUUUAACUCCUUGCAGAGUCAGUUACUUCCUUGGUAAAACUGCAAUAACAAAAAUCUACCCAAAAGUAAUAAACACAAGAGACAAAAGUACCUGCAACACAUGAAUAUUCAUUAUUGUUUGAAUAAACUUGUGAUUAACCCACUCUCAUGCAGAGUUAAUUAAUCUGAAGAUUUUGAAAGCCUAACUGUAUUUCCCCCUUGAUCCUGUAGAUAACUAUUGUUCAAGAUGACAUCUGUGAGGCAUUGCAAGAUUUUGGUAUAUUCCCUAAAUAACCAAAUCAAAAUGAAACCAUAUGGUUUUUAUGUUAGAGGGAUUACUGACUUUCAAGAAAUUAGCAUACAAUAAAAUAAUUUUCAUGUGAGGCAAUGCUCAGAUUUCAGAUAACGUAUGCAGACAAUUAACCAGAAUAAUGUAGUCUUACUGACACAAUCAUUUCCAUAUAAGGAGGCACACCUGCCAAACUCAGAAAAACAUCUUUUUGUUAUUUUUCCUGGAGUUUUAGCCUUGAGCUGCCACGGAGAAAGGAAAUGCCCUUCUCAGUUCUCUUCAAUUCCUUUGACUCACAUUCAUCAAGAUACUGAACAUUUUCAGAAGGGGUGGAUUUGUUCCCCUCAAUUUCUACCCAUUUUUCAUUUUGCUACUCAAAGCUAUUGAAUGGGACAUGACAAAUUUCACUUUUCUCUGAGACACCAACUGGGCUUUCCUUUGAAUUUAAUGCCCAACAAUAUUUGUAGCCUUAUUUAUCCCGUCUACUGAUUAAAGUCAUAAUUAAAAGAAUGACUCCCUAGCACAGGGAACUAUGCUUAAUAUAUUUUAAUUACAUUUAAUGGAAGAGAAUGUUCAAAACGAAUGCAUAUGUGUGUGUUUGUGUAUGUGUGUGUGUAUAACUGAAUCACGUUGAAAUACACAUGACACUAAUACAACAUUGUCAAUCAACUAUAUUUCAAUAAAAUUAUAAAAUAUAAAUUUACCAACCCCCAAAUAAAUUCCUCCACUCUACCAAUUUUUUUCUAUUAAGAAAAAUAUAAUACUAAAAAAAUACCAUCAAAAAAUAAAAGAAUGUCUCAAGAGGAUUCUGUCCUGGCUACGGAGGCUUCCAACUGAACAGCCAGAGAGGCCCGUCCUUACCGUCCCCUGCAGCAUGGCUUCUAUGUGUCAUUGGGCUGUGGCCUGGACAGCUGCCAAGGUGGCUGGAAGAAUAUGUGUGUGACUUCUUGAUCAUUGUAGGGGCAGCUCAUACCUGGAAAACUGGGGUUGUCAUAUCCUUCUGAAUCAGUAAGAAGUUAAAUAAGCCCCCUUCUCAACUUCCUUUCUGUCUCUUGGCUCCCUUUGGAAGACAAUCCAGUUCUUAUCCCUUGACAGAGCAGUUUCUGACCAGGAAAUAGUUGAAAAAGUGCAGUUAUCUCCUUCAAGAAAACUCUUGAGUCUUCCUAGAUGCAAAGGGAGACAGGAAGUUCUUUUCUCAGAGGAGUUUUCAGUUUUUUUUUUUUUUUUUUUGAGUUGGCAUAAGCAUACCUUCCCUUAACGAACAUGCAUGUGAUAGUUUAACUUCACAGAAAUUUGUAUGAUUAACCUAAACACCUUGAAAUCUUACUUGAUUCCUCUGUGUGUAAAACAUAAUAAUACCUUAGAUUAAGUUUUAAAGAAAUACAAACAACUAGAUACUGUUAGGCAUCUGAGAACUUUUAAAUAUUUACUAAACCUGGCUCAGACUGAUGUCAUUUUCCUGGGCUGAGUAGAUAGAUUUCACCUCCCAACUUUGUAAUCCUAGAUCAAUUACGUCAAAUGUGGUGGAACCUAGACCCACCAAGAUUGGGAUCCAAUAACAUCCUUGCUUGUAGUUCUUGUGGUUAAAAAGAAAAAAUAAAGAAUUUAAAGAAUCCAUAUUGUUAUCCAGCCUGACAAUUUCAUUCCUUUACUUGAAGAAUAUAGCCUAUUUUUAAUGUAAUUACUAACAUAAAUGAAUUUACAUCUGUCUUUCUCUUAUUUGUUUGCUAUUUGGCUUAUUUCUUGUUUCUUUUUUAAUCCUUUUUUGUUUUAUAUUGGAUUAAUAAGAUAUUUUUAUUGUUCCAUUUUUUCUUUUACUAUUUUUAGUGAUUAUCCUAGAGAUUACAAUGCAGUCUUAAUUUAUCAUGGUGAAAACAGAUUAUACUAUUACUUUUACCAUUUCCUUUCCAUUACUAGAAUCUUAAUUUUAUUACUUCCUUUUACAAAGCAUUAUUUUUAUCAUUAUUUUUAGUUUUAUGCAUAUUUUAAAGCUAUGAAAUAUUGCAGUCAAUGGUCUUGAAGAAUCAAUAUUAAUUUACAUUUGCAUACAUAUUUAUCUUUUCCAGCAUUCUUAAUUUUUUUCCUGAAUUUCCAUGUUUUCAUCUGGGAUGCUUUUUUUUCUGCACAUGUAACUUUCCUGUAGUACAUAUUUGGUAAUAAAAACUUCUGCUUUUUUUAAUUUCUUAAAAUUAUUUUUUCUUUCAGUUUCAGAAAAGAGUAUUUUCACUUGGUAUAGAAUUCUAUUUGAUACUUACAUACUUUUAAUACCUUAACUCUGUCUUCUGGAGUUCCUGUUGUGGCACAGUGGAAAUGAAUCUGACUAGGAACCAUGAGGUUGUGGGUUCAAUCCCUGGCCUCACUCAUUGGGUUAAGGAUCUGGUGUUGCCAUGAGCUGUGGUGUAGGGUGCAGAUGUGGCUCAUAUCUGGCGUUGCUGUGGCUGUGGUGUAGGCUGGCAGCUGUAGCUCUGAUUCGACCCCUAGCCUGGAAACCUCCAUAUGCUGGGGGUGUGGCCUUAAAAAGACAAAACAAACAAACAAACACAACUCUGUCUUCUACCUCCUCAAUACAUUGUCUCCUGGCUUUCAUAAUUUCUAUUGAGAAGUCAGCUAUCACUCUUAUUUUUGCUCUCCUGAAGAUAAAUGCCCUUUCCUCUAUGGAUGCCAUUAAGUUUUUCUCUCUGCUUUUGGUUUUCAGCACUUUGGCUACCAUGUUCUUGAAUAUGCUUUGCUUUGUAUUUUUCUUGCUUGGGUUUCACAGAGCUUUUUAUAUCCACAUGUCUUUCAUCAGAUUUUGAAAAUUCUGUCAUUAUUUCUUUCGGUAUUGUUUCUGGGCCAUUUUCUCUUUUCACUCUUCCUUGGAUGCCAAUCAUAUAUAUAUUAAAACUUUUCUCAUGUUUCAUGUACCUCCUACAGUUUUUACACUUUUUUUCCUCCCUGUAAAUCAGCUUAGACACAGCAAAACACUAGACAAAAACAAACAAACAAAUGAAAAUCUUAACUGUCACUAAGCAUAUUGUUGAAUUCUUAAUUUCAGACACUUGUGCUUUUAAAUUUAUAGAACAUAUAUUUAAUGUUUUUUAAAAGUUACACAUUCAAAUUAUCUGUGAAUUUAUGCAUACCUUCAUCUCUUCUAUCCAUCUUUUCUUCAAUUUUCUUAGAAAUAUUCAUUGCAUUUAUUUUAAAACCCUUAACUCCUAACUCCAACAUUUGAAUUAUCUAUGGGUCUUUUUCUCUUAUAUGAUGUGCAUAAUCUAUAAAAGAACCACAGAUGCUCUGGACAAAAUUAAGUCCUAUCCAAGAAAGUUCCCUCUUUUCUCUAUUAGGUAGAAAAGGCAAAUCACUGACCUCCUCACAACCACCAGAAAUUGAGCUCAUACUGGGCUGGAUGGCUGUUAUAAAACUCAGUGCACCUCUGAUUUUCUCUUGUUUGUCAGUUGUGGAACCCAAGGAUUUGAAUGAACACCUUAGUCCUGAAAAACUGUGUGAGAUUAUGUUCUAACCAUCACAGACUUUCAGUGUGGUGCUUUAGCCUCCCUCCUUACACAGCAAGUUUGAAAAUUCAAAAUCUGUCAAAUAUCUUGAAGCAGACCCCCUACUUUUAUGGGUCUUUGUUUCCUUCACCAUAUGUGAGAGUUCACUUUUUCUUUAAAAGAUUUUUGCCCAGUUCACUAGACUUCCUCAUAGACUUACAACUGAGUAAACGUUCAACAGGGCCAUGGCUUCCAAGUUUCCUAACAGGUAACUUUGGGUCCAUGUAACUGCCAAAAUUUGCUUCUUUCUCUUUCCUUUGGAAGAGUCCCUCUGUUUGGAUAGGCAAUUCUCAACUCACAACUAAAUGUUUCAAAUGCUCCAAGUGGGGAAAAAAAUUACUAAUGUUGAUUAGCUUUCCUUGAGAUGGGUUUUCUUUCUCUGGAUUUUACUUGAUCUUGUCCUCAUAGCUUUUGCAGAUCUGUGAUCCUUUAAAAUUGUGACUUUUUUUUUUUUGUAAUAUAUGUGGCUUUGUCUGUGGCAGUGAGAACAGUGAUCAGCUAUGACCUCUGCAUCCUGUGCAAAAGAUGAAACCAUAAUUUUCUGAGCCAUGUUCUGAUUCAUUGGUUCUAGUCACUGUCAAUCUAUUUUAUUGUAAUUAAAUAUGGGUACAAUAAUGUAUAAAUUGGAGUUCCCGUCAUGGUGCAGUGGUUAACAAAUCUGACUAGGAACCAUGAGGUUGCAGGUUUGAUCCCCGGCCUUGCUCAGUGGGUUAAGGAUCUGGCAUUGCCAUGAGCUGUGAUGUAGGUUGCAGGCGAGGCUCGGAUCUGGCAUUGCUGUGGCUCUGGUGUAGGCCAGCAGCUGCAGCUCUGAUUAGACCCCUAGCCUGGGAACCUCCAUGUGCCAUGGGUG